rnacentral:rRNA from 1 species
GACGAACGCUGGCGGCGUGCCUAAUACAUGCAAGUCGAACGCACAGUUUAUACCGUAGCUUGCUACACCAUAAACUGUGAGUUGCGAACGGGUGAGUAACGCGUAGGUAACCUGCCUGGUAGCGGGUGAUAACUAUUGGAAACGAUAGCUAAUACCGCAUAAUAUUGAUUAUUGCAUGAUAAUUGAUUGAAAGAUGCUAUUGCAUCACUACCAGAUGGACCUGCGUUGUAUUAGCUAGUAGGGGAGGUAACGGCUCACCUAGGCGACGAUACAUAGCCGACCUGGGAGGGUGAUCGGCCACACUGGGACUGAGACACGGCCCAGACUCCUACGGGAGGCAGCAGUAGGGAAUCUUCGGCAAUGGACGAAAGUCUGACCGAGCAACGCCGCGGGAGUGAAGAAGGUUUUCGGAUCGUAAAGCUCUGUUGUAAGAGAAGAACGGGUGUGAGAGUGGAAAGUUCACACUGUGACGGUAUCUUACCAGAAAGGGACGGCUAACUACGUG